rnacentral:rRNA from 1 species
AGCGAACGUUAGCGGCGCGCCUAACACAUGCAAGUCGCACGAGAAAGGGAGCAAUCCCCGGUACAGUGGCGCACGGGUGAGUAACACGUAGAUGACCUUCCCUGGAGUGGUGGAUAACCUGCCGAAAGGCGGGCUAAUACAGCAUGGGACCACAUGGUUUUGACCGAGUGGUGAAAGCGGGCCUCUGUUCACAAGCUCGCGCUCUGGGAUGGGUCUGCGUCCCAUCAGCUAGUUGGUGAGGUAAUGGCUCACCAAGGCAUCGACGGGUAGCUGGUCUGAGAGGAUGACCAGCCACACUGGAACUGAGACACGGUCCAGACUCCUACGGGAGGCAGCAGUGGGGAAUCUUGCGCAAUGGGCGAAAGCCUGACGCAGCGACGCCGCGUGGGUGAUGAAGGCCUCGGUUGUAAGCCUCGUGGGAGGAACGAACCGUACGGGGCGUAACGACCCUCCGUACCUCGACGGUACCGUCC